CUUUAAACGCGGGCCACAGAGUGCACACGACUUGGAGUGUUCUCAAAUAAGUGUCGAUUUUGGUCAAACGAGGUGCAACCGUGCAUAUUUUAUUAACAGCAAACGAGAGCUAUCGGCCGAGGGUGCAAAACUAAAGAUGAGAUGAAAAUAUUAUUUGAAUGCUGUUCCACUGUCAUAGAGACCAGUGCUUUAGAAGACUAGCCUGGACAGCCUUGGUGCGUGAAAAAUUUGCAGCUUCAAACAUUCGCGUAUAAAUAGAGACAUGCAACAAUAGUAACUAUGAUAACUAUUUAUGAACUCUGUAAUUAUAUAACAUUUUAUUAAAAAUCUUUUGAAGCCGA